GAUGAAGGGGUGCAAGCUGCCGUAGCGACCCAAGAAGAGAUCCAAAUUCGUCCAAAAAUGCAUACUCUUGGUGAGUCCUGGAGCAUGGCUGUCAGAUCUCUCACAGGAGAGGUAUGUAGUCAGGGAGAAGAAGGGAUCAAGAAAGAGGAGAAGAGGAUUAAAGGCCUUGUCCAUGGAGAGUGAUUCAGAAUGAAGCAAAAGGGAGAGAUGCCCGAGUUGGGAAGCUUUUAGAACAAGUGAAAUGAGUUCAGGCUUGUAUCAAUCAGAC